rnacentral:rRNA from 1 species
UAUCAAAAACAUGGUUUCUUGUAAUUAUUUAAGAGAUCUGACCUGCCCACUGAAGAUAUUUUGAAGGGCCGCAGUAUUUUGACUGUGCAAAGGUAGCAUAAUCAUUAGUCUUUUAAUUGAAGGCUGGUAUGAAUGGUUGGAUGAGGUAAAUUCUGUUUUAUGUUAAUUGGUGUUGAAUUUAGAUUUUAAGUAAAAAUACUUAAAUGUUAUUAAGGGACGAGAAGACCCUAUAGAGUUUAAUAAAUGUAGUAAAUAAUUGAGUUAAAUCUUAAUUUUUGGUUUUUAUGUAAUUUAUUUAAUUGGGGUGAUUGGAAAGAUAAAAUAAACUCUUCUUUGUAUUUAAUAAAUUAAUUAGUUUUAUGAUCCAUAUUUAAUGAUUAAAAGAUUAAAUUACCUUAGGGAUAACAGCAUAAUUCUUUUUAAGAGUUCAUAUCGAAAAAAGAGAUUGUGACCUCGAUGUUGGAUUAAGAUUAGUUAUGGGUGCAGAUGUUCAAUAACUAGGUCUGUUCGACCUUGAAAAUCUUACAUGAUCUGAGUUC